GCCACCCAGGCUCCACUUUCCUGCUUCUCUUUGAGGACACAGUCUGUUCACAGGAUGUCCCUGCUGGAAGCAUUCACCUUCUUGUCCUUCUGGACGCUUGGACUUGGGUUAUCAAAAUUGGAGCAGUCUCAGAUAUCCAUUUCCACAGAAGUAAAGAAAAGUGUUGUCAUACUUUGCAAGGUAUCAAGCACAAAUUUUGAAAACGACAUCAUUCACUGGUACCGGCAAAAACCAAAUCAGGCUUUGGAACAUCUGAUUUAUGUGAGCUCAACAAAAAGCCCAGCUCGCAGUAACCAAGGUGGGAGGAACAACAAAUAUCAGGCAGAAAAGAAUUCUCAAAGUCUCACUUCAAUGCUGACCAUAAAUUUCAUAGAAAAAGAAGAUGUGGCCAUUUACUACUGUGCUGGCUGGACUAUAUGGAAGAAAACUCUUGGUGAUGGAACAAAACUUGUCAUCACAGAGAGAAGCCUUGAUUCAUCAGAUAUUGCUCCUAAGCCCACAAUUUUUCUUCCUUCGGUUGCUGAAAUAAAUCUUCAUAAGGCUGGGACAUAUCUUUGUCUCCUUGAGAAAUUUUUCCCCGAUGUUAUUAAGGUAUAUUGGAAGGAAAAGGACGGCAAUGCAAUUCUGGCAUCCCAGCAGGGAAAUACCAUGAAGACUAAGGACACGUACAUGAAAUUCAGCUGGCUGACCGUGACUGCAAAAUCAAUGGAUAAAGAACACAAAUGCAUCGUCAAACACGAGAAUAAUGAAAGAGGAGUUGAUAAAGAGAUUCUUUUUCCUUCAAUAAAUAAAGGAGAUCUGACAGAAGUUGUGAGAAUACAGGACCAUGAGCCAAGGAGUGCAAAAAAUAAAAGUCUCGAGUCUGAAAAAGAGGUUGCUGGUAUCAAUUCUACAAUAGAUGAUUGUCUGAAAGAUAAAGGUGAUUUACUGCAGUUGCAGCUCACCAAUACCUCCGCCUACUACACCUACAUCCUCCUCCUCCUCAAGAGCCUGGUCUACUUUGCCAUCAUUUUCUUCUGUCUGUUUAGGAGAACAGCAGUCUGUGGCCAUGGAAAGAGUUCAUAACACAUGAUGGCACAAAAGGAUUAAUUUUUCUGCAUUUCUUUCCCCUGGACGUGUCUACUGAGGAUCUCGCUGGACUUCCUUUCUGAGUUUGGAUUAUUUCAAUUCACAUGCAUUUUUCUAUCAUGUCACUAUUGUAUAGUGGUUUUCAAACCACUGGGCAAAGACAAUUUCUCUCUGUUAUAAUAACCAAUUAGGGCAUGACUCAGGUGCAGGGCCCAAGGGUACCCUUUAGCACCACCCUUCCCAUAAUCUCAAUCAGCUCCUCUAGCAAACCCACAUAAUCAUGCCUUCUGAGCAUAGAUAGCAUGCAGCUCCUAAUCCCAUUCCUUAGUGCUCUUUAUCCAGAUAACUGCCUCAAAGCUUUCUGUUUCACACACCUUGAAACCACCAUCUCAGUUACUUGUAUUCUGCAUUUCAUUUUUUAUAAUAGUGACAAUAAAUUUUUAAUAAUCAACA